rnacentral:rRNA from 1 species
UAGUCUGNAACCCGACUACAUGAAGCUGGAAUCGCUAGUAAUCGCGAAUCAGAAUGUCGCGGUGAAUACGUUCCCGGGUCGUGUACACACCGCCCGUCACACCAUGGGAGUUGGAAAUGCCCGAAGCCAGUGACCCAACCUUAGGGAGGGAGCUGUCGAAGGUGGAGCCGGUAACUGGGGUGAAGUCGUAACAAGGUAGC